GGAAGCGUGGCCGAGUGGUUUAAGGCACCGGUCUUGAAAACCGGCAACGGACAACCGUUCGUGGGUUCGAAUCCCACCGCUUCCGCCA
rnacentral:tRNA from 1 species